rnacentral:siRNA from 1 species
CGGUCCGAAGCGGUAUCUAGCGGU